UCAAGUCGCAGCCGGCUUGGGCCUGUGUUGCGGGCGUGUUUGUGUGACGCUGAGACUGCGAGGGCUUCCCCACCUGUUUCCAACCGACCCAAGUGUGAAGUGAGGUGUGAACAGGCCUCUGACUGAGCCCGCGUCCACUAACUGCCCUUGAGGGGAGGGACCUGGCCUCCGACAGACGGGGUGGAGGAGCCCCCGACUGACUGAGGCCAUCCUGUCUGAAACUCAGGAAACACAGAGUCCCUGGUUGUGUAAUAAGAGUAUACUUGAAAAGUACCCUGUCCUUAUCUGACAACCCAGAUGAAGAAUCCUGGCCCUGAAGCUGCUUUUCUUAAAACUCUACAUAGCACCAAAGCCUGUGCAGUCCAUUAAUGCCCUUCCUAUGUGGUUUGACCCAUGGAGAAGCAUUUCGCUACAGGAAGUGCAGAUACUUUGGUCAGCCUCUGGGAUGUGGAUGAGUCAGUGUGGUACAAAGCAUUUCUAGGGUGAAAAGAAGGCUGGCUUCGUGGGUGAGCGGAAUGGGCUUUGAAUCCGGCUCCAGCAGUGAUGGUUCAGAGUCCACUUUCCUCAUCCAUAACGUGCGGAUGGCAAAUCCUCCUCUCCUUGGGUUGUUUGGAGAAUCAAAGGACAUGACAUGUUUGUAAAGGGUCCAGCACAGCCCCUGGCGUGCAGGAGAUGCUUAGCACAUCCCUUCUCCUCAAGGAGGAGCAGCUUCUAAGGAGAACACGGGCUGGCCGCGGAGACGUGGCAGUGGUCUGUCAGCUUUCUUGGCUCUAAAUGCCGGAGCUGAGCGAGCCCCGUUCAUCAUGGACUCUGCAAUGAUGGGAAUGAAGAGAGGAGACUUCUCUGUCACACUCGGGCAUGGUGAGGGGUUCAGAGGAGAAAUACUGCAUCUGCUUUCUGUUGCAGUCUGUUCGGGGCCGUGAUGGCUAUGUGUGCACAUGGACGCGUGGAGCCUCAGAGCCGUGCACACCAGCGGGGGAAGUAAGAGUAGGAGGAAGGUAAAGCUCCUGUUAGCAGAGAAGCCUGGGAAAGGAUUGAAGGGAGAGGAGGUGGACUCAGUGCAAGUCUUGAAUACAGAGGGGGUGAUUGUGGCGGGGAGGACUUGUGAGAAGGGGUGCUGCAGCUUGGAACAAAGCAGAGGUGGUGGCCAUGUUCUGGGCUGUGGAGAAGGUGGUCAGGUGGAAUGUGAGGUGGGGUUUAAGUGACACACACAGAAGAUACAGGAAGAGGCCAAUUGCCAAGGAGUACAGGCAGCCUCAAUAAGAUGGAAAAGGCAAGGAAAUAGAUGCCUCACUGGGCUUCCAGGAGGAACACAGACCUGCCAACACCUUGAUU